rnacentral:tRNA from 1 species
CCUAGUGUAGCUCAGUUGGUAGAGCAGCGGAUCGAUAAUCCGCCGGUCGCCGGUUCGAUCCCGGCCGCUAGGU